CCAUAGCCUUCCCUGCAAAGGUCUACCACACAAACAUACUCCCAACUAGCUACGUACCCAUCUCUCCCAAAACAAGAUGUCGACGGUGAAGGUUGGCAUGUUUGGCGGGUCAAAAGGUGAUGUCCACGACAUCACCGGAUUGUCAAGUUUCGCGCCGUCAAGCCUGAGGAGCAUGGAGAUCUGGAGCACACCGGGUCACGAAGGGGUCAUCAACGCCAUACGCUUCACCUUCGUCGAUAGCAAAAACAAUGUGAUCCCGGUUGGUCCAUGGGGCACCCCGCUCCGUGGUCAGAAAAGCCAGACUAUUCACUUGACAAAUGUGCAGUGUCGUCGAGCUCUCUGGCUACACCAAUGGCCAAUACAUCACCUCACUCUCCUUCCGCACCACCGACGCCCCAAGGCAUCAUGGACCAUUCGGAAAAGUGAGACCAACAACUGGAUCCGACACUUAUUUCCGCGUCCCUCUCAUGCAUGGCUCUAUCGUGGCCUUCUGCGCCCAAGCCGAUGACUACCUCAGCGCCAUUGGUGCCUAUAUCAAGAACUGAGCCCUCAUAUGCGUAUAUACCCAGCCUGGCUGGUCACUCUAUAUAUGUGUGUGUGUGUACAUGUGUGUCGUUGUUCGAUAACACGGUGGCCACGUCGGUCAAAACGUCCCUCAUAUGUUUAUAUACCCAGCCUAGCUGGUUACUCUAUAUGUGUGUGUACAUGUUUGUUGUUGUUCAAUAACACGGUGACCCCGUCGGUCUACGUGCAAGCUACACAGCCUAGCUGGUAACUAUAGGUGUGUGUGCAUCUGCUUGGUCGUGUGAUAUUUAAAUGAUGUGUGUGCUGUUUGAUGUAUUGGUUAAGCUUGUAAUAAAAAGUUUCGGAAAGUAAGUAACUUCCGGACAACAAGCAAUCCGGCUAGCAUUCCAUAUACUCCCUCCGUUUUUAUUUACUCUGCAU